ensembl:lncRNA
AUGGAGAACGAGGAAGAGGAAGAUGAAAUCUUUACCACAUUUCAGGGAGGAUAUGAAGGGCAGGAAGAGGUGGAGGAGCAGGAGGAAGAAGAAGAACAUGAGGAAGAGGAGCCAGAGUCUGAGAGGAAGAGCAGUUGGGAUGUCCCAAUUCCAAGUCGAUCACUGGCCAGUCGCAGAGCUUCACUUCCGUGUCCGGAUCAACUGAAUGCGAUGCAUCUGAGCCGUCUGCACGCUGCCACGCUUCAGAGCGGUGAGGCGAGGCCGUGCUCUCACUCCAGCCAUGUUGCCAAUAGCGAGGAGGGAGCACACACCAAGAGAAGCGCAUGUGAACAACACCCACAUGCCAUCCCAACCAUCCCUGAGGUGCACGAGCCUCUGGAGAGAAAGGCUCGGUUUAGGAGCCGCAAUGUCAUGUCUCUGAGUGAUGCAGACAGUUUGUGUCUGAUCUGCCAUGACGACCUACGCAAAGGAGGAGGAGUUAUCAGAGAGCUUCACUGUUCCCACAGCUUCCACAGUGAGUGCAUAGAGGAAUGGCUGUGGACCAAGCAGACCUGUCCCACGUGUCAAAAGCGUGUUGCCAUGCCAGAGCCCCUGUACUGGACAUCUACCAGAGUAAUAGUGCCCUGA